AACUCUCUUCUUUUCAACCACAAAGAUCUUAAUUAGUAAGCCUUUUGAUUAUUUAUCAAAAAAAAAAUUCUAUUGUGGUCUGUUUUGGUUGAUCAGAAAGUGAGGGAAAGUAGUGGGUAACUGGGAUUUUAUUGGUUUUGGGAUUUUGGUCUUAGGAUAGAAAUGGAGGGUUAUGUUCUUUUUAGAUCUGACACUAGGUUUUUUGAUGUUUUCACGUAUGACUGGUUUCUGGUGUUUUUUUUAAAAAAGUGAAAUUGUGGGUUUUGUUUUAUAAUUUGUGAGAGGGUUAAUGUUUACUGGGUAUUGUUUAUACAUCAUGGAAAAGACUAAAAUUUGCAGCUGAAGUGUAUUAUUGUGCCUGCAAACUUGGAUUAGCUAUUCGUUUCUUGCCUUGUUUUUUGAUUAUUAGGUAAUGUUCAAUAUACUGUGAUAAGAGUCAUUGCACAUUUAUUAGGAUUAUAAUUGAGCUGUUUCGAAUCUUUUUAGUCUGCAAUGAAAUGUAAUGGCCAGUGUAAGGUAAUAUUUACUCUAUGAAGUCGGCUAUUUUCUGGGAUCGAGGCUUGGUUAUUGUUGUAUGAAGACAAGCUAUUUGGCAAGCUUUUUCUUACCCACGUGGACAUAGUUUUGCUUUCAAUGAAGAUUAUUAUUUCCCCACUAGUAAGAGACUAUAAUAAUGAUCAUAGGGGUGAAAUAUACACUGACAAUCGUGUUGAAUGAUAAAUGCAUGUUGUUAUGGAACCUUGGUUGGUCUUACUAAAAGUUUGUAAGCUUUUUACAUUAAUUCAUGCAACAAAACAAAUUAAAAUGAUUGUUUAGAUCCUCUCUUUGGUAUCUGUGUUUUUUUUUCCUAAAAAAAAACUCAGCUCUUGUUUUAUUGUGAAAAAAACAAGAUCUUGUCUUUUAAUUAUCAGGGGUAUGUAAUAAGAAAGCUACAGCUUUCAGUACAAUUGAGUAAAUUCAAUGUAUUUUAGUGUUUAAUUGAUAAAUGAAAUACAUGUAAAUCCAUUAUAUUGCAUUUUAGUCUUCAACCAAACCUAUCUAGCAAACAUCUUUGCUUUUUCCAAUUCUAUCUAAUCCUAUGUCAUCCCAGCUUAAGAUUGUAUGGGAAUGCAGAUGCUGUUGAUGGAUGUGUGAACUAUGAGGUUUUAGAUAAACUUCAUGUUGUGGUUUCAUGCAAAGAUGAGUGGGAAAUGGAUUGUUGCCAGAUGUGAAGUGAUGAUCUGUUGGAUUCAUUUUGCUGGAAAGGUAGAUUUAGUGAGCAUAAUACCUUUUAUCAGUGAAGCGGAGGUGCUGCAUCCACAAUUCCCUUUCUUUGCCAACUAGUUUUUAUCACCCCCUCUUGUUACUCUACUCUUUUUUCUGAUAGAGAUUGGUUAGGUGGGAGAAUUGAAUGCCACAGCCUCUACAUCAGCAGAUAACACCCUGGUGUCCUUCUGUUAUUGACCACGUCUCCCUCUUUGGAUUGUACUUGCUGAAGUUUCUACUAGAUAGUUUUGAAUGUGAUUAUAAAUUUUGGUAAA